CAGCAAUAAUUCAAUGAUCGUCUUAGCUAAGGAACAGGACUAGCUGGUGUGUGUAUGAACCAGAAUGAUGAAGCAGGGUCUUUUAAGCAUCUCAAGCAGCAAGUAUCAGGACAGAAAGCAAGAGAUACACUGAUUUUCCAGUUCAGAGCAAUGUGCUUACAUCAACCCAUAGCAAAU